AUUGAACGCUGGCGGCAUGCCUUACACAUGCAAGUCGAACGGCAGCACGGGAGCAAUCCUGGUGGCGAGUGGCGAACGGGUGAGUAAAGUAUCGGAACGUGCCCAGUCGUGGGGGAUAACGUAGCGAAAGUUACGCUAAUACCGCAUACGAUCUAUGGAUGUAAGCGGGGGAUCGCAAGACCUCGCGCGAUUGGAGCGGCCGAUAUCAGAUUAGGUAGUUGGUGGGGUAAAGGCUCACCAAGCCGACGAUCUGUAGCUGGUCUGAGAGGACGACCAGCCACACUGGGACUGAGACACGGCCCAGACUCCUACGGGAGGCAGCAGUGGGGAAUUUUGGACAAUGGGCGAAAGCCUGAUCCAGCCAUGCCGCGUGCAGGAUGAAGGCCUUCGGGUUGUAAACUGCUUUUGUACGGAACGAAAAGGUUUGGGCUAAUAAGCUGAGCUCAUGACGGUACCGUAAGAAUAAGCACCGGCUAACUACGUGCCAGCCGCCGCGGUAA
rnacentral:rRNA from 1 species